rnacentral:lncRNA from 1 species
GUGAAUUCCAGGGGUGUGCACCCUAGGAACCUUCCAAAAGAAGAGGGGGCAUGCGCCUCCUCUGGAUCUCAUCCAGAGGUGGCAUGCGCCCCACUCUCCCUUCCAAAGAAUCCAUGCCAAGAAGGGAAAGUCUAGGGAGAAAAAUAAGGAGGGUUUGAGCCUCCUAAUUGAUUUGAUCCAAUCUUCUUGGGCACCCAAUUAGGUGCCCCUCUAAAUGCAAAUUAAAAUGGAUUCAUAUUAGGAAUAAGGAUAGAC